rnacentral:rRNA from 1 species
UGCCAGCAGCCGCGUAAAUACGGGGGAUACGAGCGUUAUCCGGAUUUAUUGGGUUUAAAGGGUGCGCAGGCGGACCGUUAAGUCAGGGGUGAAAAGUUGGGGCUCAACUCCAAUCGUGCCUUUGAUACUGGCGGACUAGAGUGCAGGGGACGUGACUGGAAUGUGAUGUGUAGCGGUGAAAUGCUUAGAUAUGUCACAGAACGCCGAUCGUGAAGACAGGUCACGAAUCUGCAACUGACGCUCAUGCACGAAAGCGUGGGGAUCAAACAGGAUUAGAUACCCUGGUAGUCCACGCUGUAAACGAUGAUCACUCGUUGUUGGCCGGUGACGGUCAGUGGCUAAGCGAAAGCGAUAAGUGAUCCACCUGGGGAGUACGAUCGCAAGGUUGAAACUCAAAGGAAUUGACGGGGGCCCGCACAAGCGGAGGAGCAUGUGGUUUAAUUCGAAGCAACGCGAAGAACCUUACCAAGGCUUGACAUCCACUUAAACCCAUGGAAACAUGGGGUGUCUUCGGACGAAGUGAGACAGGUGGUGCAUGGUUGUCGUCAGCUCGUGUCGUGAGAUGUUGGGUUAAGUCCCGCAACGAGCGCAACCCCUAUUACCAGUUACCAGCGAGUAGAGUCGGGGACUCUGGUGAGACUGCCGGGGACAACUCGGAGGAAGGUGGGGACGACGUCAAAUCAUCAUGCCCCUUAUAUCCUGGGCUACACACGUAAUACAAUGGCGGUCAACAGAGGGAUGCAAAGCCGCGAGGCAGAGCGAACCCCUAAAAGCCGUCCCAGUUCGGAUCGUGGGCUGCAACCCGCCCACGUGAAGUCGGAAUCGCUAGUAAUCGCGGAUCAGCAUGCCGCGGUGAA